AACGAACGCUGGCGGCAGGCUUAACACAUGCAAGUCGAGCGCCCCGCAAGGGGAGCGGCAGACGGGUGAGUAACGCGUGGGAACGUACCCUUUGCUACGGAAUAGCUCCGGGAAACUGGAAUUAAUACCGUAUGUGCCCUACGGGGGAAAGAUUUAUCGGCAAAGGAUCGGCCCGCGUUGGAUUAGCUAGUUGGUGGGGUAAUGGCCUACCAAGGCGACGAUCCAUAGCUGGUCUGAGAGGAUGAUCAGCCACAUUGGGACUGAGACACGGCCCAAACUCCUACGGGAGGCAGCAGUGGGGAAUAUUGGACAAUGGGCGCAAGCCUGAUUCAGCCAUGCCGCGUGAGUGAUGAAGGCCUUAGGGUUGUAAAGCCCUUUCACCGGAGAAGAUAAUGACGGUAUCCGGAGAAGAAGCCCCGGCUAACUUCGUGCCAGCCGCCGCGGUAAGAC
rnacentral:rRNA from 1 species